rnacentral:rRNA from 1 species
GACGGAGGAUGCAAGUGUUAUCCGGAAUCACUGGGCGUAAAGCGUCUGUAGGUGGUUCGAAAAGUCCACUGUUAAAAAUUGAAGCUUAACUUCAAAGAUGCCGUGGAAACUUUCAAACUAGAGUGUGGUAGGGGUAGAGGGAAUUUCCGAGUGGAGCGGUGAAAUGCGUAGAUAUUGGAAAGACCACCGAUGGCGAAGGCGAGCUCUACCUGGGCCAUUACUGACACUGAGAGACGAAAGCUAGGGGAGCAAAUGGG